rnacentral:rRNA from 1 species
UGAGUACGAGAUGCUACGGCAUCGAAGCAGUCUAUGUCAUACUUCCAAGAAAAGCUUGCACUGUCAGAAACAGAUAAUGCCUGUACCAUAACCGACACAGGUGGGUAGGUAGAGUAUACUAAGGGGCGCGAGAUAACUCUCUCUAAGGAACUCGGCAAAAUGACUCCGUAACUUCGGGAGAAGGAGUGCCUUAUUUUUAAGGUUGCAAUAACAAGAUCCAAGCAACUGUUUACCAAAAACACAGGUCUCCGCUAAGUCGUAAGACGAUGUAUGGGGGCUGACGCCUGCCCAGUGCCAGAAGGUUAAAGAAGUCGGUUAGCAUUCGCGAAGCUGGUAACUGAAGCCCUGGUGAACGGCGGCCGUAACCAUAACGGUCCUAAGGUAGCGAAAUUCCUUGUCGGGUAAGUUCCGACCCGCACGAAAGGCGUAAUGAUUUGGAUACUGUCUCGGAGAGGGGCUCGGUGAAAUAGACUUGUCUGUGAAGAUGCGGACUACCUGCACCUGGACAGAAAGACCCUAUGAAGCUUUACUGUAACUUGAAAUUGAAAUUGGACUUUAUUUGCGCAGUAUAGGUGGGAGGCGUUGAAAAUAUUCUUGCGGGAAUAUUGGAGCCAUCAGUGAGAUACCACUCUUGUAAUGUUAGAUUUCUAACUUUAUAUCAUUAUCUGGUUAAAGAACAGUUUCAGGCGGGCAGUUUGACUGGGGCGGUCGCCUCCCAAAUGGUAACGGAGGCGCACAAAGGUUUCCUCUGAACGGGUAGAAAUCGUAUCUAGAGUGUAAAGGCAUAAGGAAGCUUGACUGUGAGACCUACAAGUCGAGCAGGGACGAAAGUCGGUCUUAGUGAUCUGACGGUGCUGAGUGGAAAGGCCGUCACUCAACGGAUAAAAGUUACUCUAGGAUAACAGGCUGAUCUCCCCCAAGAGUUCACAUCGACGGGGAGGUUUGGCACCUCGAUGUCGGCUCAUCGCAUCCUGGGGCGGUAGUACGUCCCAAGGGUUGGGCUGUUCGCCCAUGAAAGCGGUACGCGAGCUGGGUUCAGAACGUCGUGAGACAGUUCGGUCCAUAUCCGGUGUAGGCGUUAGAAUAUUGAGAGGAGCCUUCUUUAGUACGAGAGGACCGAGAAGGACAUACCUCUGGUGUACCAGUUAUCGUGCCAACGGUAAACGCUGGGUAGCUAUGUAUGGAGUGGAUAACCGCUGAAAGCAUCUAAGUGGGAAGCCCACCUCAAGAUAAGUAUUCUCAUC